CAAGUAAUCCUUGUGUGUGACAGAGGAGAGAGAGGAGAGAGGGAGAGGCGAGCUUUCGGAGAGGAGCAGCAGGCAGGAGGAGGAUCUGGCAUAGCGGCUGGGAGAGGAAACUUGACGCUUCGGGGCCAGCAUUUGCCAGGGCCUUACUCGAGACGCCGAAAGGAGCCUGUUUGCGUACUGCGGCUGCCCUGUGAUUCUGGAUCUUGUCUCCUGGCCGGCGCCUCGAUUCCUACCCAGCUGGAUUGGGGGGCAACACUGCCUGGCGCAGCCAAGAGAGCGAAUGAGACCACAAAGAAGCAUAAAAUGAAUAGAUAAUCCAACCAACCAAAGGUAAUCCAUAUUGCCAUGUCAGGAAGCAAGGACCAGGAGUGGAAGUGAGGGCUCCAAAACUUAUGGCUGGGUGGCCAUAUGAGUGAUGCAUGUCACCUUCCUGCAAGGCAACCAGUUUGCAGAUCUGGCCAGAGGGAAAAUUACUGGACAACAAAAUGAAAAGGAGGCGUAAGUCAGCCCAGAUCUCUGAACCCUAGGAAAGGCAACUUCCCUCCCGCUCAUGAAAGAGGACGAUUGUGCUCAGUACCACUUAUCUGGUGCCAACAAUCUGGUUUUCCAGUUCCCUCCUCCUUUCCCUUAUUUCCACCACCACCUGCAACUUCAAAACUAAAGAUCAGACACCAUCAUCCUGUUGUUUGAAACUUUCUCUGAAAGCUGGUCCUUUCCCUUCCCCAGCCUCUUCCUGGUGCCUCCCUGCAAAGGCAGAAUGUUAAUACACAGAUUUGUACGUGACAAUGUUAGGUG
rnacentral:lncRNA from 1 species